rnacentral:lncRNA from 1 species
AUAAUGUCACUUCCGAUCAAUUUGCGAUUCAGUUUGUUCUUGAAGAUGAAGGAGAAGUUAUGGUAACAUUACAGUGCUGCCAUUUACAACUUAUCCUGUACAGAUGAUGUUAUUGAGUACAUUCUUAAACUUUUUAUUUCUUUUGUAGGAGGAAUGUGAAUCUGAAGUCACCAUUGGUGACUAAAAUGAGCAAGUGCCUCUACUUGGUUGUUAACAUUGAGGCAUGGGCGUGCAUUAGGGAUCAUGCAAUGUUGUUUGGUCAAUUAGUCUUAGCAUUGCAAGUUUGCAAACUUUAAUUUGUUUUCAAUGUUAGUUUGUAAUGGAGAUUAAGACCUUUAAUUAUCUGCCAAUCAUCAUUGCAAACUUUUGUUGCAGCUACAAACCAGAUUGUGAUGGCCGAGUACCUAAAUUUAGACCCUUCUCUCAUCU